rnacentral:rRNA from 1 species
UCGGGAAUUUUGGGCAAUGGGGGAAACCCUGACCCAGCAACGCCGCGUGAAGGAUGAAGUAUUUCGGUAUGUAAACUUCGAAAGAAUGGGAAGAAUAAAUGACGGUACCAUUUAUAAGCUCCGGCUAACUACGUGCCAGCAGCCGCGGUAAUACGUAGGGAGCAAGCGUUGUUCGGAUUUACUGGGCGUAAAGGGCGCGUAGGCGGCAAUUUAAGUCAUCUGUGAAAUCUCCGGGCUUAACUCGGAACGGUCAGAUGAUACUACUUUGCUAGAGUGCAGAAGGGGCAAUCGGAAUUCUUGGUGUAGCGGUGAAAUGCGUAGAUAUCAAGAGGAACACCUGAGGUGAAGACGGGUUGCUGGGCUGACACUGACGCUGAGGCGCGAAAGCCAGGGGAGCAAACGGG